rnacentral:rRNA from 1 species
ACUAAUAGAAUAAGUAAAAUGUAGUAGAGUAUUAUGGUUAUAUUAUAUUAAUUGAUUUAUUUUAUUAAAAUAAUAAAAAGUAAAAUUUAGUUUUAGUAGAUAAUAAAAUUUAUUUAUUAUUGAGAUUGAAGCCAUUAAAAUUUAGGUAUAAACUAGGAUUAGAUACCCUAUUAUACUUUAUUUAAAAUAUUUAUGUUUGAGUAGUAAUUAGAUAUGUUCUUUAAACUUAAAGGAUUUGGCGGUAUUUUAGUCUUGUUAGAGGAACCUGUUCUUUAAAUGAUAAACCUCGAAGUAUCUUACUUUAUUAAGUUUUCAGUUUGUAUAUCGCCAUUAGUAGAUAGUUUUUAUGGGAGGUUAUUAAAAUAAUAAAUGUAUUAAUAUAUUAGGUCAAGGUGCAGCUAAUAAUAAAGAAAGUAAUGGGUUACAAUAAGUUAAGUUUAUACGGAUAUAAAUUGAAUAUUUUUAUGAAGGAGGAUUUAAUAGUAAUUUUUUUUUAAUAUGUAAAAUUGAUAUAAGCUCUAAAAUAUGUACACAUCGCC